UACAGAGGUGGCAAGCGUUGUUCGGAAUUACUGGGCGUAAAGGGCGCGUAGGCGGCCUUCUAAGUCAGACGUGAAAUCCCCCGGCUUAACCUGGGAAUUGCGCUCGAAACUACGGGACUGGAGUGUGGCAGAGGGAGGUGGAAUUCCACGUGUAGCGGUGAAAUGCGUAGAGAUGUGGAGGAACACCGAUGGCGAAGGCAGCCUCCUGGGCCAACACUGACACUCAGGCACGAAAGCGUGGGGAGCAAACAGG
rnacentral:rRNA from 1 species